rnacentral:rRNA from 1 species
AGUCGAGCGGACUUGCUGGAGCUUGCUCCAGCAGGUUAGCGGCGGACGGGUGAGUAACACGUGGGCAACCUGCCUGUAAGACUGGGAUAACUCCGGGAAACCGGAGCUAAUACCGGAUAGUAUCUUGAACCGCAUGGUUCAAGUUGGAAAGACGGUUUCGGCUGUCACUUACAGAUGGGCCCGCGGCGCAUUAGCUAGUUGGUGAGGUAAUGGCUCACCAAGGCAACGAUGCGUAGCCGACCUGAGAGGGUGAUCGGCCACACUGGGACUGAGACACGGCCCAGACUCCUACGGGAGGCAGCAGUAGGGAAUCUUCCGCAAUGGACGAAAGUCUGACGGAGCAACGCCGCGUGAGUGAUGAAGGUUUUCGGAUCGUAAAACUCUGUUGUUAGGGAAGAACAAGUGCGAGAGUAACUGCUCGCACCUUGACGGUACCUAACCAGAAAGCCACGGCUAACUACGUGCCAGCAGCCGCGGUAAUACGUAGGUGGCAAGCGUUGUCCGGAAUUAUUGGGCGUAAAGCGCGCGCAGGCGGUUUCUUAAGUCUGAUGUGAAAGCCCCCGGCUCAACCGGGGAGGGUCAUUGGAAACUGGGAAACUUGAGUGCAGAAGAGGAGAGUGGAAUUCCACGUGUAGCGGUGAAAUGCGUAGAGAUGUGGAGGAACACCAGUGGCGAAGGCGACUCUCUGGUCUGUAACUGACGCUGAGGCGCGAAAGCGUGGGGAGCGAACAGGAUUAGAUACCCUGGUAGUCCACGCCGUAAACGAUGAGUGCUAAGUGUUAGAGGGUUUCCGCCCUUUAGUGCUGCAGCUAACGCAUUAAGCACUCCGCCUGGGGAGUACGGUCGCAAGACUGAAACUCAAAGGAAUUGACGGGGGCCCGCACAAG